GAUGAAGAACGCAGCGAAACGCGAUAAGUAAUGUGAAUUGCAGAAUUUAGUGAAUCAUCGAAUCUUUGAACGCACAUUGCGCCCGCUAGUAUUCUGGCGGGCAUGCCUGUUCGAGCGUCAUUUCAACCAUCAAGCCCUGCUUGUGUUGGGGUCCUGCGGCUGCCCGCAGGCCCUGAAAACCAGUGGCGGGCUCGCUAGUCACACCGAGCGCAGUAGCACAUCUCGCUCAGGGCGUGCGGCGGGUUCUUGCCGUAAAACACCCCCUUUUUACCAAGGUUGACCUCGGAUCAGGUAGGAAUACCCGCUGAACUUAAGCAUAUCAAUAAGCGGAGGA
rnacentral:misc_RNA from 1 species